rnacentral:RNase_P_RNA from 1 species
UUUCGGGGCCUGGUCGUCGCUCCUUGUUCUUUGAUCCCGAGGCGCGAGUAACACCGCGCUCGUUGAGGAAUGAGGAGAGGAAAGUCCGGACACCGCAGGGCAGGAUGCCGCACGAGCUUCAUCGCAAGUGCGGGCGGCAGGCGUGAAGGCCUGUCGACGGAGAGUGUCACAGAAAACAGACAGCCAGACGUGACGCGGCGAAAGCCGGGUGACGUGGGGUGAUGGUGAAAAGGUGGGGUAAGAGCCCACCGCGCCGGCAGCAAUGGCGGCGGCACGAAAAACCCCUUCCGGUGCAAGGCAAAAUAGGUGACUGGGCGGCCCGCCCAACAGUCACGGGUAUGCUGCAGCGAGACGCGCGAGGCUGCCGGCGGCGCAAGCCGCUCGCGCCGGCGCCGAUCGCCGCGUGGGCCGUGAGGUCAACGCGAGAGAAAUGACGGCUGAAGCGCCGCAAGGCGUGGAACAGAAUCCGGCUUACCGGCCCCGAAACUAA